CAAAGUAUUACUGCUCUACUUUGAUGGUCAUACUGAUUAUUUUUUUUCCUGCCUACAUUGAAAGAUCAUUUUGGCCUUUCAUGUUUAAUCAAGAGGACAGCUUAAUAGAGACAGGACGACACGCACCGGGAACUUUCAGGGCCAGGAAUGGACCUUUGACAAGUCCGUGAGCCAAACCAGCUUUCCUUUUACAUCCAUUUCUGUUAGAUUUCUUCUUUUUCCUCUCCAUCCAAAAGUGACAAAAAAGUCCACCACUCAACCUUUUGAAAAAGUACUCUUAGGUAAUGUCGUGACAUCAGUCAUACAAACCAGCACCACUUCAGCCACCUUGGGAAACACUGAAUCAUAUUUACUAAAAUUUUAAGUGAACUUAAAAAACAGUUUAAAGACCGGCAUGAAAAGGUUGAUGUAUGAAGUUGGUUAAUUUUUUAUAUGCCUUUUCACGUAUACUUUGGUUUUAUAGCAGAGCUCCACUCAGUCUGAGGAAAGGGUCAAAAUGGAAGAAUAUCACAUUUAUUUGCUCGAAAGGGCAUUUACACCACGACGUACAAAAAACCUUACAAGUAAGUGGAUUUAAAAGCAGAGCUCUCCUAAAGUGACCAUCGUGGUCUGAGGCCUCAGUGCAUUUUAUCGUAAAUGUCUCUGUAAAGAGUCUUUUCAUGGUGCUUUUUCUUUCUCAGGCGGUUCAAAAAUGAGGGGCAGAAAAGAGGGAAAGCAAACCGUUGAGGCUCUUAAAAUCAGAGAAACACAAGAAAGAGAUUAUUUGUUAAAUCAUAUAAAAAUCAUAUAAAUCAUCUACUCGCUUAAUUCGUGCGAAUCUAGACGCGUGAAUGAAUAGUAUUUGCUCGCUUCAUUUGCGCAUCAACGGUAAUUUUUACGGCAAUCCCUGCCAAUUCAACCGGCGGGAUCAAGCGAUAGACAAAGGUUUUAAAUCCGACCUCCUCACUCCUUUAUAUUCCUGUUUCAGUAAUUUAAAGAAAAGGCGUCAUUUGCGCUGCCAGAGUAGUCAGAGCGUCUAAUCGUGUCUUUACAUCCAUUUUACAUGUAAUUCAUUCGCGCGAAUGAUUUUUUACUGGCGCUCGGUCUGUGGAGACACCAAGGGCGUGGGUGUCGACUAAGCAGCUGCUUUUAGAUUUGCUGCAUGUUAUAUUCACAUUAAAGCUUUUUGGCAUUUAUGAAACAGGCUGAAGUUCAUAUUAGUGCCUUUUAUCAGUUUGUCCUCCAUUUUAGAUACCUGUGAACAACCGUCCAUUUUAAUACUUCAUCCAGCAACCUUUGUGCCGAGUAGUUACCCUGACGCAAAUAUCCGCUUUAGCUGAGACAUUUUCAGCUCCCGCCCAAUUCACGUCAUUUGUGCGGCCAGAGUAGAAGUCUAAUCGCGUCUUUGCAUUGAAUUAACAUGUGAUUCAUUCGCGCGAAUGAUUUUUUACUCGCGCUCGGUCUGUGGAGACAGUUAGAGCCCUUCCUGGUGUGUACGUGGAACACCAAAAUAUUCGAUGUGGAGCUGUCAGCUUAUACAGACUGAUAUUAGUGUAUCCCAGCCUGCCUGAAGUAGCACUCUGCUCAUUGUAUAUCAUCUAAAUGAAUUAAAACAUAGUAUUUGUGCUUUUCUCUGUCAGACACGCCCUCCUGUAAUAACUCAAACAUCAGGUUAAUAAGUCCAUAAACACCGCAGCUGUUUCUCUCUCGGCUGACUCUCCAUUAAAUCUCCUCACCGCUUCUAGAUUUACAGUAUAUUUUAUUGUGGUUUGCUCUCCAUUUACAACUUGUAGGGCCACUCUCAAAAUUGUAUCCUUCACAAUGGAGGUGAUCCAUCACUUCUGUCUCAUUUUUUAAUCCCAGGUGACUGAAACAUCUGUCAGGAUGACUGAACGUCGAUUGAGCGGUACAGCAGGGAG